GAUGAACGCUAGCUACAGGCUUAACACAUGCAAGUCGAGGGGAAACGACAUCGAAAGCUUGCUUUUGAUGGGCGUCGACCGGCGCACGGGUGAGUAACGCGUAUCCAACCAGCCCACCACUUGGGGAUAACCUUGCGAAAGUAAGACUAAUACCCAAUGAUAUCUCUAGAAGACAUCUGAAAGAGAUUAAAGAUUUAUCGGUGAUGGAUGGGGAUGCGUCUGAUUAGCUUGUUGGCGGGGUAACGGCCCACCAAGGCAACGAUCAGUAGGGGUUCUGAGAGGAAGGUCCCCCACAUUGGAACUGAGACACGGUCCAAACUCCUACGGGAGGCAGCAGUGAGGAAUAUUGGUCAAUGGACGAGAGUCUGAACCAGCCAAGUAGCGUGCAGGAAGACGGCCCUAUGGGUUGUAAACUGCUGUUAUAAGGGAAUAAAGUGAGUCUCGUGAGACUUUUUGCAUGUACCUUAUGAAUAAGGACCGGCUAAUUCCGUG
rnacentral:rRNA from 1 species